rnacentral:rRNA from 1 species
GACGAACGCUGGCGGCGUGCUUAACACAUGCAAGUCGAACGGAAAGGCCCUGCUUUUGUGGGGUGCUCGAGUGGCGAACGGGUGAGUAACACGUGAGUAACCUGCCCUUGACUUUGGGAUAACUUCAGGAAACUGGGGCUAAUACCGGAUAGGAGCUCCUGCUGCAUGGGGGGGGUUGGAAAGUUUCGGCGGUUGGGGCUGGACUCGCGGCUUAUCAGCUUGUUGGUGGGGUAGUGGCUUACCAAGGCUUUGACGGGUAGCCGGCCUGAGAGGGUGACCGGCCACAUUGCGACUGCGAUACGGCCCAGACUCCUACGGGAGGCAGCAGUGGGGAAUAUUACAGAAUGGGCGGACGCCUGAUGCAGAGACGCCGCGUGCGGGAUGACGGCCUUCGGGUUGUAAACCGAUUUCGCCUGUGACGAAGCGUGAGUGACGGUAAUGGGUAAAGAAGCACCGGCUAACUACGUG